rnacentral:rRNA from 1 species
ACAGUGGACGCGAGCAUCUUUGUUGUAAGUAAUGAAGAGCGUACGGUGGAUGCCUUGGCACCAGGAGCCGAUGAAGGACGUAGGAGGCUGCGAUAAGCCUCGGGGAGCUGUCAACCGAGCUGAGAUCCGAGGAUGUCCGAAUGGGGAAACCCAGCACGAGUGAUGUCGUGUUACCCGCACCUGAAUAUAUAGGGUGUGUGGAGGGAACGUGGGGAAGUGAAACAUCUCAGUACCCACAGGAAGAGAAAACAAUAGUGAUUCCGUGAGUAGUGGCGAGCGAAAGCGGAAGAGGCUAAACCAUGGAUGUGUGAUAGCCGGCAGGUGUUGCAUUCGUGGGGUUGUGGGGUUCAUCUUGUCAAUGCUGCCGUGUUGGCCGACAGUAAGAAAUCAUUGUGUUAGUGGAAGUGGUCUGGAACGGCCUGUCGUAGAGGGUGAGAGUCCCGUACACGAAAACAUGAUGACUGUCGUGAUGGAAACCCAAGUAGCACCGGGCCCGUGAAAUCUGGUGUGAAUCUGUCGGGACCACCCGAUAAGCCUGAAUACUCCCUGGUGACCGAUAGCGGACUAGUACCGUGAGGGAAAGGUGAAAAGUACCCCGGGAGGGGAGUGAAAUAGUACCUGAAACCGUGCGCUUACAAUCCGUCAAAGCCUUUGCACACUUCGGUGUGGGGGGUGAUGGCGUGCCUUUUGAAGAAUGAGCCUGCGAGUUAGUGGCAUGUCGCGAGGUUAACCCGUGUGGGGUAGCCGUAGCGAAAGCGAGUCCGAAUAGGGCGUCCGUAGUGGCAUGUUCUAGACCCGAAGCGGAGUGAUCUACCCAUGGCCAGGUUGAAGCGACGGUAAGACGUCGUGGAGGACCGAACCCACUUAGGUUGAAAACUGAGGGGAUGAGCUGUGGGUAGGGGUGAAAGGCCAAUCAAACUCCGUGAUAGCUGGUUCUCCCCGAAAUGCAUUUAGGUGCAGCGUCGCGUGUUUCUCACCGGAGGUAGAGCUACUGGAUGGUCUAGGGGGCCCACAAGCUUACCGAAAUCAGCCAAACUCCGAAUGCCGGUGAGUGAGAGCGCGGCAGUGAGACUGCGGGCGAUAAGGUUCGUAGUCGAGAGGGAAACAGCCCAGAUCGCCAGCUAAGGUCCCUAAGCGUGUACUAAGUGGAAAAGGAUGUGGGGUCGCGAAGACAACCAGGAGGUUGGCUUAGAAGCAGCCACCCUUGAAAGAGUGCGUAAUAGCUCACUGGUCAAGUGAUCCUGCGCCGACAAUGUAGCGGGGCUCAAGUACACCACCGAAGCUGCGGCAUUCACACAAUGCACCCCCUUGAUUCUGCGGAGUCUUGGGCAGUGGUGUGGAUGGGUAGGGGAGCGUCGUGUGGCCAUGGAAGCGGCGGGGUGACCCAGCCGUGGAGGCCACACGAGUGAGAAUGCAGGCAUGAGUAGCGAAAGACGAGUGAGAAACUCGUCCGCCGAAUGACCAAGGGUUCCUGGGCCAGGUUAAUCCGCCCAGGGUGAGUCGGGACCUAAGACGAGGCCGACAGGCGUAGCCGAUGGACAACGGGUUGAUAUUCCCGUACCCGUGUGAACGCGCCCCUGGUGAAUCAGUGAUACUAACCAUCCUGAAGCGUCCUUACGCCCCUUCGGGGGCCCUGGAUGUGGAUGCAUGGGACCUGAUCUGGUAGUAGCCAAGCGAUGGGGUGACGCAGGAAGGUAGCUGAGCCAGUCAGUGGUAAUACUGGUGUAAGCCUGUAGGGCGAAUGGUAGGCAAAUCCGCCAUUCACACAGCCUGAGAGGUGACGCAUAGCCGAAUGAGGCGAAUUCAGUGAUCCUAUGCUGCCGAGAAAAGCCUCUAGCGAGCUUUCACACGGCCCGUACCCCAAACCGACACAGGUGGUCAGGUAGAGAAUACUAAGGCGAUCGAGAUAACUAUGGUUAAGGAACUCGGCAAAAUGCCCCCGUAACUUCGGGAGAAGGGGGGCCUCGUCCGGUGAUCACUCUUGCAGUGUGAGCUGGGUGGGGCCGCAGAGACCAGUGAGAAGCGACUGUUUACUAAAAACACAGGUCCGUGCGAAGUCGUAAGACGAUGUAUACGGACUGACGCCUGCCCGGUGCUGGAAGGUUAAGAGGACCGGUUAGCCACUUCGGUGGCGAAGCUGAGAAUUUAAGCCCCAGUAAACGGCGGUGGUAACUAUAACCAUCCUAAGGUAGCGAAAUUCCUUGUCGGGUAAGUUCCGACCUGCACGAAUGGCGUAACGACUUCUCAGCUGUCUCAACCAUAGACUCGGCGAAAUUGCAUUACGAGUAAAGAUGCUCGUUACGCGCGGCAGGACGAAAAGACCCCGGGACCUUCACUACAGCUUGGUAUUGGUGUUCGGUUCGGUUUGUGUAGGAUAGGUGGGAGA